ensembl:snRNA U6 U6 spliceosomal RNA
AUGCUUGCUUCAGCAGCACAUAUACUAAAACUGGAAUGAUAUAGCAAAGAUUAUCAUGGCUCCUGCACAAGGAUGACAUGCAAAUUCAUGAAGUGUUCCAUAUUUUU